rnacentral:rRNA from 1 species
UCCUGCCAGUAGCCAUAUGCUUGUCUUAAAGAUUAAGCCAUGCAUGUCUAAGAAUAAGCCUUUGAAUGGCGAAUCUGCGAAUGGCUCAUUAAAUCAGUUAUUGUUUAUUUGAUGUGUGUGAUUAAUGUGGCUUCACGGCUGCAUUCUUUACUAUUGGAUAACCGUAGUAAUUCUAGAGCUAAUACAUGUUACAAACCUUUUCAAUGCCAUUGACCGUCAAAACGUCAGUGGCAGCAUUUAUUAGAUUCAAAACCGAUCCACUGGGCUUGCUCAGUGUGUUUAUCAUGGUGAAUCAUAAUAACUAAGCAAAUCGAAAUACAAGGGGUGGUCAGUAUAAAAAGGCUAUCGCGAGGUAGUUUUUUCAUUGGUCAUCCUUUCGAUGCUUCAUUCAAAUUUCUGCCCUAUCAGCUUUCGAUGGUAGGAUAUUGGCCUACCAUGGCGAUAACGGGUAACGGGGAAUCAGGGUUCGAUUCCGGAGAGGGAGCUUGAGAAAUGGCUACCACAUCCAAGGAUGGCAGCAGGCGCGCAAAUUACCCAAUCCCAACACGGGGAGGUAGUGACAAUAAAUAACAUCGAGGAACCAUUGGAGGGCAAGUCUGGUGCCAGCAGCCGCGGUAAUUCCAGCUCCAAUAGCGUAUGUUAAAGUUGUUGCAGUUAAAAAGCUCGUAGUCCAAACUGCAAAGUAUCUAAUUUAAAUGGAAAUGGUGUCUCUUUCGUUGGCGUCAUUUGACUCUUUUAGUUGUGAAGCUAGUCCAAGACUCGUUCUUGGGUUAGUCUUUCCGCUAGCUGAGUCGCGUCAAUGCAAUUAGACAUCCCAGCUUUGCUUGUUAAGUUUGAAGUACUUUAUCAUUCGAUGUACCAAAGUGGCUUCACUGUCAUUUUUGGCUACUCGAGUGGUAACCUUAAGGACUUCAAUAGUUUACCUUGAGAAAACUAGAGUGUUCAAAGCAGGCGAAAUUAAAAUUUCUCUCGCAACUGAAUACAUUAGCAUGGGAUAAUAGAAUAGGACAUUUAUGGGAAGUAGUUUUAGCUUAACUUAACUUGCCUCCGGGUGAGUCUUGUUUUUGCGGACUACUCUCUCUUGGUCCUAUUAUGUUUUUGAUCGGUGGUUCAAGGACCAAUGUAAUGAUUAAUAGGAACGGUUGGGGACAUUCAUAUUGCAUGGCUAGAGGUGAAAUUCUUGGAUUCAUGCAAGAUGAAC